rnacentral:rRNA from 1 species
GAUGAACGCUGGCGGCGUGCCUAAUACAUGCAAGUCGAGCGAACGGACGAGAAGCUUGCUUCUCUGAUGUUAGCGGCGGACGGGUGAGUAACACGUGGAUAACCUACCUAUAAGACUUGGAUAACUUCGGUAAACCGGAGCUAAUUCCGGAUAAUAUUUUGAACCGCAUGGUUCAAAAGUGAAAGACGGUCUUGCUGUCACUUAUAGAUGGAUCCGCGCUGCAUUAGCUAGUUGGUAAGGUAACGGCUUACCAAGGCAACGAUGCAUAUCCGACCUGAUAGGGUGAUCGGCCACACUGGAACUGAGACACGGUCCAGACACCUACGUGAGGCAGCAGUAGGGAAUCUUCAGCAAUGGGCGAAAGCCUGACGGAGCAACGCCGCGUGAGUGAUGAAGGUCUUCGGAUCGUAAAACUCUGUUAUUAGGGAAGAACAUAUGUGUAAGUAACUGUGCACAUCUUGACGGUACCUAAUCAGAAAGCCACGGAUAACUACAUG